rnacentral:lncRNA from 1 species
ACCAACAAAGACAAGAAACAGAUGUACUCUUCAACAAGUCAAAGGUACAUGUUUGAAGGAGAGUCGUGAAAAAAGUGAUAAAGGUUGCAAGGCACAGGAGAAGAUGGGUGAUGUCAAGCACAAAAAGUGACAUGAAACCUGUUGUCUGUGACUCUCAACAUGUUAUCAACUGCAUAAUUAGAGAAAUGGUAACUGACAGGUUAACAGAUGGAAAACCCUGCUGCUCUGCUUUAAGGCAUCCAAGCACAGUAGAGGUGGCUGUCAUAACCUUGGACAACAGGCUGUUCCCAUCCAAUCGCAUCAGCCAGCUUGCCUAUGCAGAUGAGCAAUCUAAUUGCUGA